UCUCUCUGAAUCUGCGUACGGCUCCGCAAACCAGUUGUAAACCAAAGCAAGCAUACUCGCGGUCUGCCCUUCACGGGGUGGGCUACGGGUGAUACGGAUAACCCUGGUAAUUCUGAGGCUAAUACGAGAAUGUACUCCCUGGCUAACAGGGUAACUGGUAGGCCGGGGGGCGUGUGAUCUAUUUGCAAGACGAUUCCAGGAAGGGGUGCACGCUCUGACCGCGAUAAAGACAGUUCCGGUAAACCCUCACGGGCGAGCCGGCCCUGAGCGGCUCUUGCGAUGUGCUUCUGACCUAUCAACUAGAUGGCAGCGUAACGGACAUGCCAUGGUUACAACGGGUACAGAGGAUUAGGGUUCGAUCCUGGAGAGUGGGCCUGAGAGAUCUCC
rnacentral:rRNA from 1 species